GAUGAAGAACGUAGUGAAUUGCGAUAAGUAAUGUGAAUUGCAGAUUUUCAGUGAAUCAUCGAAUCUUUGAACGCACAUUGCGCCCCUUGGUAUUCCAUGGGGCAUGCCUGUUCGAGCGUCAUUUGUACCUUCAAGCUUUGCUUGGUGUUGGGUGUUUGUCUCGCCUUUGCGUGUAGACUCGCCUUAAAAUAAUUGGCAGCCGGCGUAUUGAUUUCGGAGCGCAGUACAUCUCGCGCUUUGCACUCAUAACGACAGCGUCCAAAAGUACAUUUUACACUCUUGACCUCGGAUCAGGUAGGGAUACCCGCUGAACUUAAGCAUAUCAAUAAGCGGAGGA
rnacentral:misc_RNA from 1 species